rnacentral:rRNA from 1 species
AGGGAAAGCUGGCGGCAGGCCUAACACAUGCAAGUCGAGCGGAUGAAGGGAGCUUGCUCCUGGAUUCAGCGGCGGACGGGUGAGUAAUGCCUAGGAAUCUGCCUGGUAGUGGGGGAUAACGUCCGGAAACGGGCGCUAAUACCGCAUACGUCCUGAGGGAGAAAGUGGGGGAUCUUCGGACCUCACGCUAUCAGAUGGGCCUAGGUCGGAUUAGCUAGUUGGUGGGGUAAAGGCCUACCAAGGCGACGAUCCGUAACUGGUCUGAGAGGAUGAUCAGUCACACUGGAACUGAGACACGGUCCAGACUCCUACGGGAGGCAGCAGUGGGGAAUAUUGGACAAUGGGCGAAAGCCUGAUCCAGCCAUGCCGCGUGUGUGAAGAAGGUCUUCGGAUUGUAAAGCACUUUAAGUUGGGAGGAAGGGCAGUAAGUUAAUACCUUGCUGUUUUGACGUUACCAACAGAAUAAGCACCGGCUAACUUCGUG